AAUGGAGAGUAUAUCUAAGUCUCUAGGGUUUUUCCUAACCUUUUCUUAUAAAUAGAAAAAGGAAACCCUAGGCUUAGGGGGUUAGCAAUUGAAUACAAAACGAUUGGUAAGAUUUUGGGCUUUCGUAUUGUAAUUUCCAAAAGCAAGCACAAAACCAAUAAACACCCUAGAUCCAUAUUCCAUCUUUAGAUAACUUCCUCUUCAACUCUUGAGCCCAAAACUAUAAAAGAUUAUUGAAAGUGUUGGGGGCCUUUAUUGCUAUCUAGUCUUUGAUUAAGCUUGGUCACAUAUUCCAGCCUAUUGAUGGAUUACCUGUCUCACAACAACGAUCUAAUUCUUGCCUCUGAAACCCAUCCAAUUUGCUCAAUCCAACUUAAGAAAUAAAAAGAACAACAGAUUACGAAGUGGUCGAGCUUCGAUAAGAAAUUUAUCUGACUUUAAUUUAAACAUUAACUCAGUCAUGAUUAUCUUUCAAGAAAAAAAAUACUCAAUCAUGAUAAAAAUAUACUCAAUGUUUUGGUUGAAUGGAUAUGGUAACUAGCAAAGUUUAAUAAUAAUAGAUUCUAGUGUACAAGUAGAAGUUACAGCCUAUACCCUCAAAAGAGGGACAACAAAUGGUUGAACCAAAUAACAGAAGAAAACAAACUACUGCAAAAUUUCUAAACAAGAAAAUCAGAUAAUUGACAUGAAUUCAGAGAUUUCAAUAAUAAUUGACAGAUGCCUUAUCAAGGCCUCAUCAUAACAUGAUAACUUUUAGCCACAAACGAGAGACACGAGAUAUUUGAGGCUUUGAUUUUUCUAUCAACUAUAUGCCUAAGAAACACCAUGCAUAUAAACCACUACACAUUAAGCCAUGUCUGCUAAAAUCUCAACAAAGAUAGAGUAUUUUGGUAGACUCAAAGAAAAGCUAAGUGCCCAUUCGUAUAAUUGAAGCUAGAUUUCUUUAUUCAAGAACAACAGAGAAAAUUCAAAAUGCUUGCUAACAUAGACAUGGUAACCAAAUCAGAAAGUGAUAAAGAUGAAGGAAUCAGGAAUAAUCAAAGCCAACAUUUACAAAUACACCAUCAAAGGCAGUAGUAUAAAAUUAAGAACAAAACCCACAUAUUAUAAAUCACUAAAGAAUCAAUAGUGUAAGACUAAGAACAAUUCUAAACCUGCAUCUUAUCAACAUUAAUCAAGAAACUUUUCUUUAACUUAUUCACCACAAAAUCAAUAUUAAUCACCAUCAACAUUGUAUAUUUUUUCUAACCUGUCUCAGAUCUUCAAACCACCAAACCCGAAAGUGAAAGAGAGAAGUCAAUGGUGGAGAGAGAGAAAGAGAGAGAAAAAGAGAGACAGACGAAGAAGAGAGUGUGAGAGAGGGAGGCUUACUUCAGAGAUAGAGAAAAAAGAGAUGACUUUAAUGGUGGUGCAAGGAGGACAACAGCGGAGGAGGAAUUAUGAUUACAAAUGGUGAGGAGUGGUGGUGCAAGGAGGGUUUAAUUGUGGGAAGUUAUGUGCUAGGGAUUUGAUUUUUUGAUACAUCUGCAAUUGGAGAAAAGGAAAUCGUAAUUGGUGUUAUGUCUACAUUAGCAACCACAAUCAUGCUAAAGUGGUCGUGGAAUCAU
rnacentral:lncRNA from 1 species